rnacentral:rRNA from 1 species
CUACGGGCCGCUGCAGUCGAGAAUCUUCCACAAUGGGCGAAAGCCUGAUGGAGCGACGCCGCGUGCAUGAAGAAGCCCUUCGGGGUGUAAAAUGCUUUUCUGAAGGAAGAAUGCGUUUUUGCGUAUGACAUUACUUUAGGAAUAAGGGGCUGCUAAACUCGUGCCAGCAGCAGCGGUAAUACGAGUGCCCCAAGCGUUAUCCGGAUUUAUUGGGCGUAAAGCGUUCGUAGGGGGGUUUAUAAGUCUUUCGUUAAAUCUUAAGGCUCAACGUUAAGGCCGCGAAAGAAACUAUAAAACUAGAGGACAUCAGAGGCCGACGGAACUCACGGUGUAGGGGUGAAAUCCGUUGAUAUCGUGGGGAACACCAAAGGCGAAGGCAGUCGGCUGGGGUGAUCCUGACCCUGAGGGACGAAAGCGUGGGUAGCGAACGGGAUUAGAUACCCCCGUAGUC